UACGGAGGGUGCAAGCGUUGUCCGGAAUUAUUGGGCGUAAAGCGCGUGUAGGCGGCUUUGCAAGUCGGGUGUGAAAGCCCUCGGCUCAACCGAGGAAGUGCGCCCGAAACUGCAGAGCUUGAGUACCGGAGAGGAUGGCGGAAUUCCCCAAGUAGAGGUGAAAAUUCGUAGAUAUGGGGAGGAACACCGGUGGCGAAGGCGGCCAUCUGGACGGAUACUGACGCUGAGACGCGAAAGCGUGGGGAGCAAAUAGG
rnacentral:rRNA from 1 species